rnacentral:rRNA from 1 species
GCUAGUUGUACGAGUUCAGACUCGUAGCAGAUAGCUCAGUAACACGUGGCCAAACUACCCUAUGGAUCCAGACAACCUCGGGAAACUGAGGCUAAUCUGGAAUAGGGCUCUCAUCCUGGAGUGGAGAGAGCCUGAAACGCUCCGGCGCUAUAGGAUGUGGCUGCGGCCGAUUAGGUAGACGGUGGGGUAACGGCCCACCGUGCCAGUAAUCGGUACGGGUUGUGAGAGCAAGAGCCCGGAGACGGUAUCUGAGACAAGAUACCGGGCCCUACGGGGCGCAGCAGGCGCGAAACCUUUACACUGCACGCCAGUGCGAUAAGGGGACUCCAAGUGCGAGGGCAUAUAGUCCUCGCUUUUUGCGACCGUAAGGUGGUCGCGGAAUAAGUGCUGGGCAAGACCGGUGCCAGCCGCCGCGGUAAUACCGGCAGCACGAGUGAUGACCGCUGUUAUUGGGCCUAAAGCGUCCGUAGCUGGCCGCGCAAGUCUAUCGGGAAAUCUCUCCGCUUAACGGAGAGGCGUCCGGUGGAAACUGUGUGGCUUGGGACCGGAAGACCAGAGGGGUACGUCUGGGGUAGGAGUGAAAUCCCGUAAUCCUGGACGGACCACCGGUGGCGAAAGCGCCUCUGGAAGACGGAUCCGACGGUGAGGGACGAAAGCUCGGGUCACGAACCGGAUUAGAUACCCGGGUAGUCCGAGCUGUAAACGAUGUCUGCUAGGUGUGACACAGGCUACGAGCCUGUGUUGUGCCGUAGGGAAGCCGUGAAGCAGACCGCCUGGGAAGUACGUCCGCAAGGAUGAAACUUAAAGGAAUUGGCGGGGGAGCACUACAACCGGAGGAGCCUGCGGUUUAAUUG